GGGAGAGACUGCGCCCGUGCCGCGCUUACCUCGCAGUCCUCGUACUUGAUGUUGUCCGUCAGUUUCCAAAGCAUUUUCAUGGAUCGGCGUGAAUGGAUUUGGCCCCUCUCCGCCUCGCACCCAAGUGGAGCUACUCUCUGGCCUAAUCGCCUCAUUAGCAUAUCAACAAUAGUCCAAUUGCUCGCCAGCACCACAAUCUGCCGCCGGCCGCUCCGACCCAGGUAUAAAGGCCUCUGCGAGCCGCGAACUCGCUCCUAAAGCGCACGCCCGCCCGGGAGCCCACGGAGUCUCCCCUGAGCCCCGCAGCGCGCCGCUGAGUCGGCGCCCCUGGCCCCGUGUCGUCUUCUCUCUCCUCUUCUCCUCGUCCCGGCCCUGCUCACGGUCCGAGCGGCCGCUCCCGGGACCCAGCUCUCCCAGCACCUCUCCCCCAUCCCUGCCUCCACCAGCGGUUCCGUCCUUUCGGGCCCUGUCCAAUUGCAGAAAUUAUCCCUUUUCUCAAUUAAAUAUAACCAUCAACUCAAAACCGGCGACAUCACUCCAGGAUUUUUUGCCCAGCCAGAGAUCGCCUCCGCUGCCGGCAGCCGACACCUCCGGCCGCAGGGCCCCGGGAGUUUUAUUGGCUUCGCGCUUCACCACCCCCCAUCCCCCCACCCCCAGGUUGGAGAUUUUUGCCAAACGGCUUCAGUCGCUCGGCUGGGGUUUGCCAUCCUUUAAUUGCCGCGUGUAAAAUAAAAAGUGUACCCUGAAGAGGUUGCUUGACAGCUCCAGGGGUUAAAUGCUUUUCCUUUCAUUUGUACGAAGCUAGGACCGACGGAUAAUUCAACGUGGUAUUUGGGCUAAGGGCUUCCUAGGUGCGUUGUGGACAGGAAUACGGAACUCCUACGGAGGCUCACACACGCUUCUGGAGUUAAGCCGAAAUACCGACAUGUGUGCACCGUGUCAUGAAUGCAUCAAAAUAAAUCGCUGGGAACCAACCCUUUGCUGUGCUAAUCUGCUCCAGUUUUCCCAAGAUUCCCCUUUUUAAUUAAAGCAGGGAGCGUUCCUUCA